UAGAUGAUGAUGAAGUAAUUUGUACUUUAAUCCAACACUUGAACUGAGGAUUAUUUUGUCCAAGUGAUGUCUCAAAGUCAUUUGCUUCUGAAUCAGG
rnacentral:snoRNA from 1 species